ACAAGCCUCUCCCUUUCUCUCUCUCUCUCUCUUUCGCUUCUCUCACGCUCGAUCUUGUGGAAUUGAUUUGUGAAGCUGCUGAGAGAAGCUAGCAUCCGAAUCUCUCCCGGAUAUAUCUGUUGUUGUCAUUUCCACGAGAACCAAUACGGAAAUUAUGUUGCAGAAGCCAAUGGGGCAUGCAUCUAUGGACUAAGAACAUCUCCUUGUUAAUGGGUCAGGAAGAUCUUCAAGAUGACAACAAGGACCUUGAUCUCGCGAGAACUAUUCAUAUAGCACGUGCUUUGCACCGUUGCUCGAGUUUCAGGACAUUUAUCUGCAAAGAGUUCAUGCAAACCCCAUUUUGCUGGUGCAUGUAACAAUUUAUGUUUAUGAGACGAAAAUGUGGAUAAUGUAUCUAUUUCGGAAGGUAUCCUAUAUCAUGCUAGGAGCUAAGGGUUGCUUAUACUAAAGCAUUUUGAGAUAUGGCCAAGCACCACCCUGAUCUCAUAAUGUGCCGGAAACAGCCUGGAAUUGCCAUUGGUCGGCUAUGCGAGAAGGAUGAUGGGAAGUGCGUAGUUUGUGAUUCUUAUGUCCGUCCCUGCACGCUAGUACGCGUCUGUGAUGAAUGCAACUAUGGAUCUUUCCAAGGGCGCUGUGUUAUCUGUGGAGGUGUGGGCAUUUCCGAUGCUUACUACUGCAAGGAAUGCACCCAGCUGGAGAAAGACAGGGACGGUUGUCCCAAGAUUGUCAAUUUGGGCAGUGCCAAGACUGACCUGUUCUAUGAACGGAAGAAAUAUGGAUUUAAAAAAAGAUGAUUAGAUGAUUAAUUAAGCCUAAACUUGAUCAUAUCCUGAACCGAAGAUGACACUUUUAUAAUUCAGACGUGCUCCUCUUGAACUGGGUAUUGAGUCUUCCUCAUGGCUUCCGUCUUCUUGGGUAUCGGAAAAAUGUGCUGUGGUGAUGUAUAAUGGAUUUCUGAAAUUUCCUUUGAAAGCUUAAAACUUA